GUUUUGCUGAAGAAGCCAGUAGGUGGGGUCUCAGCCGCCGAAGCCGUAGAGGGUGCGGCCCUGGCGCUUGAGCGCGUAGACCACGUCCAUGGCCGUGACCGUCUUGCGCU